CGGGUGAGUAACGCGUGAGCAACCUGCCUAUGACAGUGGGAUAGCCUCGGGAAACCGGGAUUAAUACCGCAUAAAAUCGUAGAAACACAUGUUUUAGCGGUCAAAGAUUUAUCGGUCAUAGAUGGGCUCGCGUCUGAUUAGCUAGUUGGUGAGAUAACAGCCCACCAAGGCGACGAUCAGUAGCCGGUCUGAGAGGAUGGACGGCCACAUUGGAACUGAGACACGGUCCAA
rnacentral:rRNA from 1 species